GUGCCAGCAGCCGCGGUAAGACGGAGGGGGCUAGCGUUGUUCGGAAUGACUGGGCGUAAAGGGCGCGUAGGCGGUUUUUUAAGUGAGGCGUGAAAGCCCUGGGCUUAACCCAGGAGGUGCGUUUCAUACUGGAAAGCUUGAGUACGAGAGAGGAAAGCGGAAUUCCUAGUGUAGAGGUGAAAUUCGUAGAUAUUAGGAAGAACACCAGUGGCGAAGGCGGCUUUCUGGCUCGUAACUGACGCUGAGGCGCGAAAGCGUGGGGAGCAAACAGGAUUAGAUACCCUGGUAGUCCACGCUGUAAACGAUGAGUGCUAGACGUUGGGGGGUAACCUUCAGUGUCGCAGCUAACGCAUUAAGCACUCCGCCUGGGGAGUACGGUCGCAAGAUUAAA
rnacentral:rRNA from 1 species